AAACGUCGCUAGUGUCAGGAGAGAGAAGCAAGCACGUCUUACACAUCUAAACUGAUGCUCCACAAAGAUUUUGGAUUUAUUUUCAAUACACAGAUUUUACAAUGGAAAUUAAGUUAGAAAAUACACAGCUAUGCAUUUAAAGGGUUAAAAAUAGGACAGAAGCUUCUAAAUUAUGUUGUUUUUUUUUGAUGUAAAAAAAAUCUUGAUAACGCUAUAAGUGGACCUCAGAGAAAUAAAAAACAAAGGCAGUUCAUGACCCCUUUAAAUUUGAGCUUAUGUUACGAUUAUAUUAAAUUAAACUUUAUAAUAGGCCUAGCCUACAUGUAAUUGUAAAAUUAAAUAGUCUAUCAAAUGGCCCAAUUGAUUCAAGGUUUUCUCAAGACAUCAGUAUGCCAUCUAAAGACAGUAAUAAAUAGGCUAAUUGCUCUAAAUGUCUUCCAAAAGGACCAUGAGUCAUCAUCCUAUGGCUGUAAUAUUGGCUUACCAUCAAAACUGAGGGAGCUAAAAGGGUUGACGUGUCAUAACAAGUCUCAGCAUUUUGGUCAUAGAAUUGAAGAUUGAAACUCAAAGAGAGAAAUACACACCAGAAAAAACACGAGUUCGUUUAGCUAUAAAGGAAGCGAAAAGAUACUGUUAAAAAGAAGAACUUCACAAACAUAGACCACCAACACGUAGGUCUGCAGCUCAGCAUUUCGCAGGUCUUCAAGAUGAUUGCUUUUCUGCUACUUGUGACUCUGGUCUGGUCUCAAAGCCACUCAGUGGAUACAAACUCUAAGCCUUGUAUGCCAGCGAAGUACAACAACGCUCAUAAUGUUUUCCUCAAGCGCCAUAUUCCAGAGGAGGUGCCCAAAACGUGGGACAAUAACGCUUGGGAAACUUUCCUGAGGAAAAUUAAAACGUGUGGCAGACCGACGCAGUCGUUCUUCCGUGCCAGCGAGAAACAGCGAGUGGAGAAUGUGUGUACUAAAGCCGGGGGUAAGACCCUGUCCCGUAACCUGUGCAUCAGUAAAGAGAAAUUCUCCUUCGUAACGGUGCGGGUCGAUAUCAACGAAGGCGCGUGUGGGAUCAAAAACAUCCGCAAUGAGACCAAACACAUCAUCCUCGCCUGUGAACAGAUAGGAGAUGCCUGUCAACCCGUUCAUUUCGAAGAAAAACAAACAGUUUGGUAUGGUUAUGAAUAA
ensembl:lncRNA